rnacentral:lncRNA from 1 species
AUGGAUCACAGGAUUCUUUCUUCUAAAAUGACUGUGAACUUGCACCUCCAUGGGGAGAGCCUGCAGUGCGAUCCCAGAGCAGGAAAGGAGGAAGAGGAAGAGAAACAGGAGCGGAGAGAGAGCAGGCAACAGAAGUUACUGAGCUGGAUGCUGCCACUGUGGUCCCUGGCCCUGGAUUUGGUGAGUCCUCCCGAAACGCAUCUUUACAAAGAUCUUAAUGACCCAGAUAACCAUGAUGGUGUGCUCACUCACUUAGAGCCAGACAUCGUGGAGGGAGAAGCUAAGUGGACCUUAGGAAGCAUCACUAUGAACAAAGUUAGUGGAGGUGAUGGAAUUCCAGCUGAGCUAUUUCAAAAUCCUAAAAGAUGAUACUGUGAAAGUACCUUACUCAAUAUUCCAGCAAAUUUGGAAAACUCAGCAGUGGCCACAGGACUGGAAAAGGUCAGUUUUCAUUCCAAUCCCAAAGAAGGGCUAUGCCAAAGAAUGCUCAAACUACCGCACAAUUGCACUCAUCUCACAUGUUAGCAAAGUAAUGCUCAAAAUUCUCCAAGAUAGGCUUCAACAGUACAUGAACCAAGAACUUCCAGAUGUUCAAACUGGAUUUAGAAAAGGCAGAGGAACCUGAGAUCAAAUUGCCAACAUCUGUUGGAUCAUAGAAAAGCAAGAGAAUUCCAGAAAAACAUCUACUUCUGCUUCAUUGUCUACACUAAAGCCUUUGACUGUGUGUAUCACAACAAACUGUGGAAAAUUCUUAAAGAGAUGGGAAUACCAGACCACCUUACCUGCCUCCUGAGAAACCUGUAUGAAGGUCAAGAAGCAAUAGUUAGAAUCGGACAUAGAAAAAUGGACUGGUUCAAAAUUGGGAAAGGAGUAAGUCAAGGCUGUAUAUUGUCACACUGCUUAUUUAACCUAUAUGCAGAGUACAUCAUGCAACAUGCCAGGCUGGAUGAAGCACAACCAGGAAUCAAGAUUGCUGGGAGAAAUAUCAAUAACUUCAGAUAUGCAGAUGACACCACCCUUACGGCAGAAAGCAAAGAGGAACUAUAGAGCCUCUUGAUGAAGGUGAAAGAGGAGAGUGAAAAAGCUGGCUUAAAACUCAGCAUUCAGAAAAUGAAAAUCAUGGAUUCCACUCCCGUCACUUCAUGGCAAAUAGAUGUGGUAACAAUGGAAACAAUGAGAGACUUUAUUUUCUUUGGCUCCAAAAUCACUGCAGAUGGUGACUGCAGCCAUUAAAUUAGACGAUGCUUGCUCCUUGGAACCAAAGCUAUGACCAACCUAGACAGCAUUUUAAAAAGCAGACAUUACUUUGCCAACAAAGGUCCAUCUAGUCAAAGGUGUGGUUUUUCCAGCAGUCAUGUAUGGAUGUGAG